rnacentral:lncRNA from 1 species
UUGUUUCAUCCUAAUCAGUGAGUUCUAUAUGUGAGUUUUUUUUUUUUUGGGUUGGUCGAAUAAUUAGGAUUUGCUAUUAUAUUAUUUAUUGGUUGCAGCCAGAUCUUGUCGCUUUCAUGGGGAAAUACCUAGCUAUCCAAGUUCCUUGUUGCUUGCUAUAGAUGAUUAAAACGCUAUACUCUGGGUUUUUUUUUCAUAUCCAUGCUCCAAAGCAUGAAGAGCCCACCUAUAUAUUCUCUUUCAGUGGAAGAUCACAAGAAGGACCGAAGUCAGCAGGACAAGUAUCAAGUGCAGCAAUUGGUGCUUCUUGUGCUCUUCUUCUAAUAUUUUCAUCCCCCUUAGGUUUAUCUUGCUAAAUUAAAAUUA